rnacentral:rRNA from 1 species
AGAGUUUGAUCAUGGCUCAGGAUGAACGCUAGCGGCAGGCUUAAUACAUGCAAGUCGUACGGAGGGCUUCGGCCCUCAGUGGCGAACGGGUGCGUAACACGUGAGCGACCUGCCCCUGUGUGGGGGAUAGCCCGGGGAAACCCGGAUUAAUACCGCAUACGCCCUACGGGGGAAAGCAGGGGCUCCUUUGGACCUUGCGCUAUUGGAUGAGCCUACGUCUGAUUAGCUAGUUGGUGGGGUAAUGGCCCACCAAGGCGACGAUCAGUAGCUGGUCUGAGAGGAUGAUCAGCCACACUGGGACUGAGAACGGCCCAGACUCCUACGGGAGGCAGCAGUCGGGAAUUUUGCCCAAUGGACGAAAGUCUGAGGCAGCAACUCCGCGUGAGGGAUGAAGGCUCUCGGGUCGUAAACCUCUUUUCUCAGGGAAGAUCCAAGACGGUACCUGAGGAAUAAGCCACGGCUAACUACGUGCCAGCAGCCGCGGUAAUACGUAGGUGGCAAGCGUUGUCCGGAUUUACUGGGCGUAAAGAGCGCGCAGGCGGCUGGUCAAGUCUGAUGUGAAAUCUCCCGGCUCAACUGGGAAACUGCAUCGGAAACUGAUCGGCUUGAAGGUGGGAGAGGGUAGUGGAAUUCCCGGUGUAGUGGUGAAAUGCGUAGAUAUCGGGAGGAACACCAGUGGCGAAGGCGACUACCUGGCCCAUUCUUGACGCUGAGGCGCGAAAGCUAGGGGAGCGAACGGGAUUAGAUACCCCCGUAGUCC